rnacentral:misc_RNA from 1 species
AGGGAGUCUCCUGCAUUCCUAAGGAUGGUACCUUCCUUUCAUGAAGGAAUAUGAAUGCAUAUGACAGAUGAAAAUUCCUGCACCACAUUAUUUGUUCUAUGUAAUUGGUAGUUUUCAUUUGAAGUCAAAAAAACCAAAACAAAAAAAAUGCUGAACUUUAGUGCCUUUUUUAAAAAUAAUCUGUACUUUUAAUUUUUUUUGCAAUUCACUAUUAAAACUUACAAAAUUGCCAUAAUUAAGCAAUCCGGUCAAGUUCUGAUGAAAUUGGCUUACUGGAACUGACAGGGAAAAUUGAAAAAUAAAUAAAUAAAUUGAUGGACUAAAAAAUGACAGUGAUUCUCUCUCCCUCUCUAUUCUCUGUCUCAGAACUCUAAAUAUCUUUGUUGUUCUCUCCAUCCCCAACCUACCCAAUAUCCAUCCACCUACCCACCCACGGCCAUGACGCCGUGCCCGGGCCCCCCCCUCCACCAAACAAAACAUAAAAAAAAACCUACCCAUCAUCAUCCUCCUCGUCUCCAAUCCAAGAUUGUGGCUGGCAAGUCCAAGGAGCUCACUUUUAAUUUCAGUACCUUCUUUGAAACAAGACCCUCCAUCAAGGUCGCUUACUGUCCCAAUGAUGCCUGGAACCAUUUCUUUCUUAUCAUCAAAACUGGAAUGAGACCCUUUUGUUUGCACAUGGCCAGCUUCAUGCUCAUGAGUGCAUUCAAUUUGCUUGGGAGGGGAAAUCCUAGUUUUAAGCUCCAUUUCAAUUUCCAAGCCCAGGUUUGUGGAUUUUCCCAUUAAGAAAUCACAGUCAUCUUCGGUCUUUGUCUAUUUGAAAAGAGCAAGAAUAUGAUUGGGUCUUUGCCCAAUUGCAAUAACGAUGGAUCAAUUGAGGUGGUGGAAGGGGUGCUGAAUAGAAUUUCAAAGAAGAGAAUUUCUAUUUUUCUGCCACCUACUACUAGGGCAUUUGCUGGGGCUUUCUUUGGUGUGGACUGUGGAAGUGACAGCAAGUACCAAGCUUCCUUUGAGAAGCCGUGCUGUAAUGAAUUUUAGAUGGGGAGUUAGGAAAGGUAUCAGUGGUGAUUCAAUGGCUGGGAUUAAUCUG